rnacentral:misc_RNA from 1 species
CAAAGAAAAAUAGUCUGAUUUUCUCAACGUUGUGUAGCUGUGUGGAAAAAAGGAAUAUAAAUUUUAUUUUUUUGUUCACUGAAUUUCUUUAUAGUAAAUGUGUGUUAUUUUCCUAUUAUCAAUAUAAAUGCCAACUAUAGAUGGAUGUCAGUAAAGAAUAAUUGGAAAAGCUACCCUACCUACAUACAUACAUUUUAAAAGAAAUCACACAAAUUUUUGUUGGUGCUCUUUCCCGACGACUAGUGAAGUGAGUAGACAAGGCUGACACUUGGCACGCCAACCAUCCAACGGCUUAACUAAACAAGCGAAGUGGGAAAUUGUUGAUGGUCUGUAGAACAUAAAUACUAAAGUAUUAUAAAGUUUUUGUAGUUUCAGUUCGUACUUAAGAAAAUAAACAGCAAAAUAAUGUCAUAUCCACCACGCCCACCUAUGCCACCAUACAUGAAUCCCUCCAUACCACCGCCUCACAUGAUGGGGCCGAUGGGUAAUCCGCCACCACAUGCAAGAGGUUAUAGAAACUCGGCAACUAUCAGUUCUCAACCAACGGUUUAUCAAAGGCCCCCAGAUCCAGUACCACAAUUUAAAGGACCAAUCAUUACGGUGUUUGUGGGAAACAUUAGUGAACGGGUUCCGGAGAUUUUAAUAACACGUAUCUUGUCCACUUGUGGUCCUGUUGUGAAUUGGAAACGAGUUUCGACAUUUGGUUUCUGUGAAUAUGAUGGUCCCACUGCCGGCAUGCGAGCUGUUCGUUUACUAAGUGAAAUCGAAUUGGACGGUAAAACGUUGGUAGCGAAAGUUGAUGCUAAAAAUAAGCUUUUGCUAGACAACUUUAAAGAGGAAGAGCGUAAAAAUGGAGCAAGUGAAAUGCCAGAUGAGAAAAUUGACGAUGAAGAUGCGCUGCGAUCAAUGAGACGAAUAAUUGAUGAACACAAGCAUGAAAUGGACGAAUUUGAUCCCAAUGCACGCACUGACUUGUAUGGAGUUCGUGGAGUUAAAACUAAACCUAACCGAAAUGAUGAGAUCAAAGUUCCCAAAGUACUACACGAGACCAAUUUGGAAGAGGAAAAGCGUAAUCUGAUCAGCAGCGAGAUUGGCAAAUUCCGUAAAAAAGCGGAAGCUGACGAACAUCGCAAGGAAAAAGAAAAAGAACGUGAAAAGGAAAAGGAACGCGAUAAAGAGCAACAGAAAGAGAAAAUACGAGAAAGAGAAAAGGAAAAAGAAAAGAAAAAGAGAAGCGAAAGUGUCAGCGAGCAGGACUGGGAUGUCGAAGAAAAGGUGGGCGGUAGUGAUGGUGUUUCAAUUGUUCCGACCCAUAAAAAGGAACGUACAGUUGAUAUUUCAUCUCCAAUUAAAAAAGAUAAGGAACGGGAGAGUGGGUCAAAGGAAUCGAGGCGUAAACGCAGUCGCUCGCGCUCAAAAGAUCGAGAUCGUGAAUAUAGAGAACGGGAACGUGAGCGUGAAAGAGAACGCGAAAGGGAGCAAAGAGAAAAAGAGCGUGAACGCGAAAGGGAACGAGAAAGAGAAAGGGAGCGUGAACGGGAACGCGAAAGAGAACGUGAAAGAGAACGAGAAAGGGAGAGAGAAAGGGAACGUGACAGAGAACGUGAAAGAGAACGUGAAGAAAAGGUAGUCAAAAAUGUUAGAGAUGUGCAGCGCGAAAAGGAAAUAGAAGAGGAAUUGCGUGAACGUAAGAAGGCUGAAAAGAAGGCACGCGAAAAAGAAGAAGCUUACCAAGAACGUUUAAUAAAUUGGGAGCAAAGGGAAAAACGCAAAGCUAAGGAAUAUGAAAAGAUACGUUUAAAAGAAAAAGUAAAACAGGAUGAACGUGAAAAAGAAGCAAAACGCCUUAAAGAGUUCCUAGAAGACUAUGAUGAUGAAAGAGAUGAUAUCAAAUAUUACAAGGGUCGGGAAUUGCAACGACGCCUGGCGGAACGAGUUCGAGAAGCAGAUUUAGACGCUAAGGAUCGCAACAAGGAACAAGAAGAGUUGGAAGAACUUAAAAAUAAAAUAUUUAGCGGUGAAUUUGAAAAUCCCUCACAAGAAUAUGAAAGAGCCAAAAAAGAACAUGAAAAAUUAUACCGGCCGCAAAUUAUCAUUGAUGUUAAUUUGGAGAACUUGCAACGAAAGGAGAGGGAACGUAGCAGGGACAGACACUGCACUAACAUGUCUUCGGAAAAACGUUUAAAUUCAAAUGAUAUCUAUCAUAGAAGUGAGGAUAGUGCGUUAGGUGCAAGUAGUGCGCCUAUGCGACCACUUUCAAAAGCCGGCUCAGUUGAAUCAUCAUCAAAUGAUGAUGCUGCCUCUCGACAUGAGACCAUGUCAAAUGCAAGCAGUCGAUAUAGUCGUCAGGAUUCCGAAUCACGCGAUUUUGCAAGUGCUCCUGAUAUAGAGUCGAUGUCGCCUGCUACUCCUCAAGCCUUUGCUGCACAUUCACAAAAUAAUGAUUCCGCCUCUACACCGCCUAUGAUGCCUACCGUUGGAAUAAGUCUGAAUCUGGGGGCCAAUGCAAAGAAAAAGAAAAUUGAAUCUACCGCCGGAGUGUUUAGCAAUGACGAUGACAACGAUGAUCUUUCCAAUCCUAAAAAACGAAAACUAGUACCUUUGGACUAUGAAGACAAUCAGACAAAACAGGGCUCACAUUCGUCUAGUACGCACUCAGGUGACAGACACGAUACCACUGGAGGAGGUGGCGGUGGAAAUGCAGGUGGUGGCAUUGCUAGUAGUACUGGAUCGUCAGCAGCUGGUGGUGGCGCUGGAAAGGGGGGAAAUGCAACAACAAACAAAAAACAUGGAUACCCACCCAAAAGGAGGAUCUCUUCAAUUACAAACUCGAUCGCAAUGAGAUUGACAACAAUCUUAUGGAACGGAAAAUACGUCCUUGGAUAAAUAAGAAGAUAAUUGAAUAUAUCGGUGAACCCGAGCCAACACUGGUCGACUUUAUAUGCUCCAAAGUUCUAGCAGGCAGUUCGCCUCAAAGUAUUCUGGACGAUGUUCAGAUGGUUCUUGACGAAGAAGCCGAAGUGUUUGUUGUCAAAAUGUGGAGACUACUCAUCUACGAAG